GUCUUAACUGGGCGUUAAGUUGCAGGGUAUAGACCCGAAACCCGGUGAUCUAGCCAUGGGCAGGUUGAAGGUUGGGUAACACUAACUGGAGGACCGAACCGACUAAUGUUGAAAAAUUAGCGGAUGACUUGUGGCUGGGGGUGAAAGGCCAAUCAAACCGGGAGAUAGCUGGUUCUCCCCGAAAGCUAUUUAGGUAGCGCCUCGUGAAUUCAUCUCCGGGGGUAGAGCACUGUUUCGGCAAGGGGGUCAUCCCGACUUACCAACCCGAUGCAAACUGCGAAUACCGGAGAAUGUUAUCACGGGAGACACACGGCGGGUGCUAACGUCCGUCGUGAAGAGGGAAACAACCCAGACCGCCAGCUAAGGUCCCAAAGUCAUGGUUAAGUGGGAAACGAUGUGGGAAGGCCCAGACAGCCAGGAUGUUGGCUUAGAAGCAGCCAUCAUUUAAAGAAAGCGUAAUAGCUCACUGGUCGAGUCGGCCUGCGCGGAAGAUGUAACGGGGCUAAACCAUGC
rnacentral:rRNA from 1 species